rnacentral:rRNA from 1 species
GCGGAGGAAAAGAAACUAACCAGGAUUCCCUCAGUAAGGGCGACUGAAGCGGGAAUAGCUCAGGAUGUGAAUCUGCAGCCGAAUUGUGGUCUGUAGACCGUGACGUUAUCUGCCGGGCCAAGUCCCUUGGAAAAGGGCAGCAGAGAGGGUGAGACUCCCGUCCGCCUGGUGGAGCGAGUUGCGUGGACGAGUCGAGUUGUUUGGGAUUGCAGCUCAAAUUGGGUGGUAAAUUCCAUCUAAAGCUAAAUAUUGGUGGGAGACCGAUAGCGUACAAGUACCGUGAGGGAAAGAUGCAAAGAACUUUGAAAAGAGAGUUAAAAAGUACCUGAAAUUGCUGAAAGGGAAGCGAAGGAAACCAGUGUCGUGCUUGGCCAUACUUCCCUGUCCACCUGUGGAUAGGGCGCUGUGACCGGCUUGGGUUUGCCUUGGUUGUGCCGUUCGGAAGAGCGCCUACAGAGUUGAUGUGGGUUGC